UUCGAUUCGUGUUAUUUUUCAGCAUUGAGACUUAAUAAAUUACAAAUUACAUAAAUUUAAUUUUAAUUUCUUUUACUUAUACAGCCUGAACAUUUUUACCUACAUAUAUGAAGCAUAAACAAAUGAAAAAUUAACUAGUUCCUUUUGUGGACCGGAAUUAAACGGAGCGAUCACUAAAAGGAACUGAAAUGCCCACCUCUACUGCCAAAGGCCCUAAAAGUAAAUAACAUGUGGUACAUAGAUAUGGCAGCUACAUCUAAACAUACCGAUGAAAUUCGGCAGCAAUAUCGAGAGCUAUAAGAAAGUCAUACGUGUAGAGUUUUGUGAGAAUCGGUUAACAUUAUAUCAAUAUUAGUCCAAGUCAGGCGAAUAUAUAUACCUAUUAUGAGAGCGAUAUAUCCAAAUCUGAAAGUCAUGGACAAAGGAUGGACCGAAGGGAGGACGCAGAGACAGACGGAUCAAAAAACGAAUGGAAGAAUAAAAGGACGUAUGAAAGAACUGAAGUAAGGACAGAUGGUGCGGACUAAUGAACGGACCGGAGAGCUUAAUCGACUCUUCCAUCGGUGUAACAAACAAAUAUUCUAAGUUAUAAAACCCUAUACCUACAACUUCUGAAGUGCAAUCAACAUCUUCAGAAAAUAACCCAAUGAAUGUUAAAUGUGCCAUCUGUUCCAGUUUGUAUAAAGUUUUUGAAUGAAACUUAUCAAUAAAACAAAAGCGGUAAGUUUCACCACUUUUGAUAAGAUUAUCAUCAUAGAAUCUGUAUGUUUUACAAUUUCAAUGGCAAACUAAUCAACAUUUUUAAACAAUGUACAAUGUAGAACAUAUGUACGUACAAAAAAAUAAAUAAAACCUAAAAACUGUCUAUUCCACUUCAAAAAAAGUAAACAAUGGAUUGUUCGUUUGGUCUCCUUUAUUUCCCUUCCCCCAUUCCGUCGCUAACAAAAACUUCACUUAACCAUACCGAAACUUCACUGUCAUUAAAUUAUAAGCCAGAGAAAGUUUAAUGUAACUUCUUGAGGAAUUGGAUAAACAAAAUAAAUAUUGUGUAAAAAAUGG
rnacentral:sRNA from 1 species